UUCUAAAGAUUAUUUUUCCGACCCAAAUAUCGACCAAUAGAAUUGCACCAUUCGACGUCACGUGGUACAACCUACAUGGUAUUAUACUGAUAAUUUUUUUUGAAUAUUUUCUCUGGUCGUUGCUACGUCAAACUGACAGGUUGUGGCCGACAUUUGGGACGGAAAAAUAAUCCCCCGAAUACCACACGAGCUUCAAAAUUCUCUGGCAUUUCCCUCAAGGUUCCCUGCAAACAAAUAAAGUCGUCAAGUUUUCCAGGAAAAAUCACUCGCGCUUCGCGCUCGUUAUUUUUUAACCUGAAAAACUUGACUCCUUCAUUUGUUUGCAACGAACCUAUCGGAAAAUACCCGAUAAUUUUGAAGCUCUUGUGGUAUUAUAAGUGAAUAUUAU
rnacentral:lncRNA from 1 species